CUGUUGGGAGUUAUACUGCAAAUGUUUCAGCAAUUUACUGGAAUGAAUGUCAUCAUGUAUUACUCAACCUCAAUAUUCUGCAGUAUAGACGUAUCCAGUUAUGCUGCUACAGCAAUAGUGGGUGUGGUAAACUUCUUGACUACUCUCAUUACUGUCUUUAUCGUUGACAAGGUUGGUCGUAAGUCCCUAUUGCUAGUUGGGGCACUGGGUAUGUGUGUAUCUAUACUGACAGCUGGUCUCCUCAUUCAUAUCUUUAAUGUUGUUGAGGAGAGAGAGGGAGGGGGAGGGAGUGAAGAGGAGAGACAGGUUGUUGGAUAUUUUGUGGCUCUCCUGAUUGUACUCUUUGUGUCUUUCUUUGCAUCUACCUGGGGACCAGUUGUUUGGGUGGUGACUAGUGAAAUAUUCCCCCUCUCUGUUAGAGGUGUUGCUGUUUCAGUCACUACUUCUGGUAACUGGAUUGGGAACUUUGUGGUUGCUAUGGUAACCCCAUUACUUCUCGGUUCUGUACUAAAGACGGCCGGUACAUUCUACAUACUGGCAGGGUUUCUCUUUGCCUCAUUUUUAUUUGUGUUGCUAACACUUCCUGAAACAAAAGGAGAGAGUUUAGAGAGAAUUGAUGAAUUAUUUCUAAGACCAUGGCUACAGAGGAUUAACCUAUUCUACUACCUGAGGUACAUGUACAUGUAUACAUGUACCUGUAGGUUUAAAAGCUGACCAGGCCAACCUACAGUGGUGCCCUAGAUACUAUAUAAACGCAAUUGUAUUUUCGUCAAUCGUAAAGGAAUCUACAAAAUUUGCAACCCUUAAAAACACUUAUAUGGUGUUGUUGUCCAUGGUCUAAUGCCUGUAGGGUAAGGACUGCACAAGAAGAGGACACUGUAGCCAUUGUUGGUAUAAAGAAUGAGAACAAAG
rnacentral:misc_RNA from 1 species